rnacentral:rRNA from 1 species
GACGAACGCUGGCGGCGGGCUUAACACAUGCAAGUCGAACGGAAAGGCCCUGCGUGUGUGGUGUGCUCGAGUGGCGAACGGGUGAGGAACACGUGAGUAACCUGCCCUUGACUUUGGGAUAACUUAAGGAAACUGGGGCUAAUACCAGAUAGGAGCUCCUGCUGCAUGGUGGGGGGUGGAAAGUUUCGGCGGGUGGGGAUGGACUCGCGGCUGAUCAGCUUGUUGGUGGGGGAGUGGCUUACCAAGGCUUUGACGGGUAGCCGGCCUGAGAGGGUGACCGGCCACAUUGGGACUGAGAGACGGACCAGACUGCUACGGGAGGCAGUAGUGGGGAACAUUGCACAAUGGGCGGACGCCUGAUGCAGAAACGCCGCGUUCGGGAUGACGGCCUUCGGGGUGUAAAAAGCUUUAGCCUGUGACGACGCGUGAGUGACGGUAAUGGGUAAAGAAGCACCGGCUAACUACGUG